AGACGUAUCCUACGGGAGUCAACAGUGGGGAAUAUUGCACAAUGGGCGCAAGCCUGAUGCAGCGACGCCGCGUGCGGGAUGGAGGCCUUCGGGUUGUAAACCGCUUUUGUUCAAGGGCAAGGCACGGUCUUUGGCCGUGUUGAGUGGAUUGUUCGAAUAAGCACCGGCUAACUACGUGCC
rnacentral:rRNA from 1 species